GAAAACUCAUUAAUUUUUAAUGUUAUGACGCUAAAAAUGUCAUAUUUGGGAAUGUGGUGAAAAACCACAACUGUGCCCGCAACUGUAAGUCAGUGUCUAAUACAUGCUUAAUUUUGAGCUGUUUUUGAUAUUAACAAGUCAGGAUACCCAUUAAUAAAUUAAUCAACUA
rnacentral:ncRNA from 2 species